GAUGAACGCUGGCGGCGUGCCUAAUACAUGCGAGUCGAGCGAACAGACGAGGAGCUUGCUCCUCUGACGUUAGCGGCGGACGGGUGAAUAACACGUGGAUAACCUACCUAUAAGACUGGGAUAACUUCGGGAAACCGGAGCUAAUACCGGAUAAUAUAUUGAACCGCAUGGUUCAAUAGUGAAAGACGGUUUUGCUGUCACUUAUAGAUGGAUCCGCGCCGCAUUAGCUAGUUGGUAAGGUAACGGCUUACCAAGGCAACGAUGCGUAGCCGACCUGAGAGGGUGAUCGGCCACACUGGAACUGAGACACGGUCCAGACUCCUACGGGAGGCAGCAGUAGGGAAUCUUCCGCAAUGGGCGAAAGCCUGACGGAGCAACGCCGCGUGAGUGAUGAAGGUCUUCGGAUCGUAAAACUCUGUUAUUAGGGAAGAACAAAUGUGUAAGUAACUAUGCACGUCUUGACGGUACCUAAUCAGAAAGCCACGGCUAACUACGUG
rnacentral:rRNA from 1 species